rnacentral:rRNA from 1 species
GAACGAACUCUUCGGAGUUAGUGGCGGACGGGUGAGUAACACGUGGGAACGUGCCUUUUGGUUCGGAAUAACUCAGGGAAACUUGUGCUAAUACCGAAUGUGCCCUUCGGGGGAAAGAUUUAUCGCCAUUAGAGCGGCCCGCGUCUGAUUAGCUAGUUGGUGAGGUAAUGGCUCACCAAGGCGACGAUCGGUAGCUGGUCUGAGAGGAUGAUCAGCCACAUUGGGACUGAGACACGGCCCAAACUCCUACGGGAGGCAGCAGUGGGGAAUCUUGCGCAAUGGGCGAAAGCCUGACGCAGCCAUGCCGCGUGAAUGAUGAAGGUCUUAGGAUUGUAAAAUUCUUUCAGUAGGGACGAUAAUGACGGUACCUACAGAAGAAGCCCCGGCUAACUUCGUGCCAGCAGCCGCGGUAAUACGAAGGGGGCUAGCGUUGCUCGGAAUUACUGGGCGUAAAGGGAGCGUAGGCGGACAUUUAAGUCAGGGGUGAAAUCCCGGGGCUCAACCUCGGAAUUGCCUUUGAUACUGGGUGUCUUGAGUAUGAGAGAGGUAUGUGGAACUCCGAGUGUAGAGGUGAAAUUCGUAGAUAUUCGGAAGAACACCAGUGGCGAAGGCGACAUACUGGCUCAUUACUGACGCUGAGGCUCGAAAGCGUGGGGAGCAAACAGGAUUAGAUACCCUGGUAGUCCACGC